rnacentral:rRNA from 1 species
ACAGGCUUAAAACUCAAAAGACUUGACAGUGUCCCACAUCAACCUAGAGGAGCCUGUCCUACAACCGAUAACCCACGAUCAACCUCACCCGCUUUUGCACUUCUCAGCCUAUAUACCUCCGUCGCCAGCCCGCCUGACAACAGCCAACAAAGCGAGUAAAAUAGUUUACCACUAAAACGACAGGUCAAGGUGUAGCUAAUAAACGGGGCAGAGAUGGGCUACAUUGUCUAACCUAGACAAUACCCACAGCACUAUGAAAAUAGCACAAAAGGUGGAUUUAGCAGUAA